CCUACGGGGCGCAGCAGUGGGGGAUAUUGCACAAUGGGGGGAACCCUGAUGCAGCGACGCCGCGUGGGUGAAGAAGCGCCUCGGCGCGUAAAGCCCUGUCAGCAGGGAAGAAAAUGACGGUACCUGAAGAAGAAGCCCCGGCUAACUACGUGCCAGCAGCCGCGGUAAUACGGAGGGUGCGAGCGUUAAUCGGAAUUACUGGGCGUAAAGCGCUCGUAGGCGGUAUGUCAAGUCAAGGGUGAAAUCCCCGCGCUCAACGUGGGAACUGCCUUUGAAACUGGCAAACUGGAGUGUGUGAGAGGAUA
rnacentral:rRNA from 1 species